rnacentral:rRNA from 1 species
UACGUAGGGGGCAAGCGUUAUCCGGAUUUACUGGGUGUAAAGGGAGCGUAGACGGCCAGACAAGUCUGAAGUGAAAAUCCAGCGCUUAACGUUGGAAGUGCUUUGGAAACUGCCGGGCUAGAGUGCAGGAGGGGCAGGCGGAAUUCCUAGUGUAGCGGUGAAAUGCGUAGAUAUUAGGAGGAACACCAGUGGCGAAAGCGGCCUGCUGGACUGCAACUGACGUUGAGGCUCGAAGGCGUGGGGAGCAAACAGG